CGUGCGCGUGGAAAAGAAAAUGUGACGAGCAAAGGCGACACGUUGUUGUUUUCUUGCCAAAUACAUACUGUGGAUUUAAAAUUUCACUUGACGUUGACUGCAAUUCGACGGAGAAAACAGAACAGAUUGGAUAUUUAUUUUUAUUUUUGGGGAGGACGGGGCGGGGAGGGGGGUGCGAUGACGUCUCAGCCGAAAGGUUCCAAUCUGGGAGGGCGCCGACUAUUUCCUGGAAGGGAACGAGCCUCCUGAAUAAUUGAAGACGCAAUUAAGGCCCGUUGGAAGAAAGACGCUCGUUAAAUAUUCAUGAGGGAAAUCCCGCGAGAUUUCUUCUGGCCUCAAGACAGCAAGAGCACAACCAGGCGCCGCCGCGUGCUCAUCAUAAUCGGGUCGGGAAUAAGAAGAAUCAUCUCAUCGGUUUUCUUUUUGACAACAAAGAAAACACCAAAUUGUUCCAGUAAACAUAAGCAAAUAAAUAAAUAACGUUCAGGAUUAAUCGAUCGGGUUUUAAAAGCCAGUACUAUUGUAAAAAUAAAAAUGCUAAUCAUUUAAAUGAUAAAUUAAUUAUCAUUUUAGAUUCCGCGUAAGGACACGAAAGAAAAAAAAAAAACAAGCGCAAGUAAACGUGAAAGGAAAACUGCAAAAUGUUUGACUCUUAGCAAAAAGGAAUAUUUUCAAAACUUCAGCAAAAAAUAAACGAAGCAAAAACAGAAAAAGAGAUGAAAGUAAAGUAGUAUAAAACACUAGAACUUAAUAUGCAUAAUUGAGAUAAACGGAUUCUUUUCUAUUAAUAGCAAGCAUUAAUACAUGAGAGGAAAAGCAAAAGUCGAUGCAUUCUGAAUUAUUAACUGCAAUACAUUGAGCAGCAUUUGUGUCUGUGGAUGUAUAUUAAAUAUAAUACACCGGCCAUCCAUUUUCUGAGCUGCUGCUCGUCAUCGGCUGGAUGGGGGGGGGGCAGCACACCCGGAACUGGUCGCCAGUCCAUCGCAGGGGGGGGGGGGAGACACAGGAAAGCGGAAGUACCCGGAGAAAAGCCACACACAGGGAGCCUGGAUUUGGACUCGCAACCGGUGGGUGGGUCACCCUGCUGAGGGGGAGGAGAAUACAUACGCCGAGUGUUGGCCGCCCCCCGUGAUGUUUUAUUUGUUCUUUUUGAAAUGUGACGUCACAAAAAGGCCACUUUAACAAAGCGAGAAAUGAAACUAGCAUUAGCAUCCGGUUGCCAGCAGUUUAUUUGCACAAAUGGCUAACGUGCAGCUAGCCAGCAGCUCCCCAGGGCCUCCCGAACCAAAGCGGACAUGUUUAUCUUGACAACAUCGCGUGAGAAGACGACAGUGCGGCGCUCGUCGGACUUCGUCGGGGUUCGGGUUCCGAGCAGUCAGUAGCGUCCCUCCACGCCCAGCUGGGUCUGGACUCGCCGCUGGAUCUCGCCGUGGACCGCGCGCACUUCCCGUUGGCUCAGCGUGCGCUCAGUGUGGCGGUAAAGCACCCGGAAGCACAAACUCCGCCUCCCGCUCCUAAAAAGGAAACCACGGCGCUCUGUUUAGCUUGCGUCUCGCCGGAAGUCGUCGCCGUCGCCGCCGCCGCCGCCGCAAUCCCGACCGCGUCUUGCGGUGCGGUGUAUCCAAUAGCAACCGAGUGAAGGGGCGGGGCCGAUCCGUUUAUUGUGCUCGGAUCGGAGCGCGUCUUCAAUCGUUUACCAGCCAACUGCUGAGCCGUAAUCGCUCGCUCAGAGCUCCGCUUUCGUGACUUCCUGUCACAACAGGAAGUCAACACUUUCUGCGUGUGACCGGCCGAGAUCGCGCUCAGCGGAUCCAUCAAGGUGUCGUCUGUCAACUAUCAAAACGUGUGUGCGCUCACGUGGGGUGCGUGAAGUCAUCCAGCAGCGCGACCUCCUCCACGAGGUCGCCGGCGACGGCCCGCACCAACUCGUAGAAGUCGUUGGCGUGGAAGGGCGGCUCGCCCGCCGCGGGCAGCCAAA